CCUGCCGGCGACCGGCGCACGGGUGAGUAACACGUAUGAAACCUGCCCGUAGCAGGGGGAUAAGCGGAAGAAAUUCCGUCUAAUACCGCGUAACAACCCGAGGAGGCAUCUCCUCGGGUUUAAAGGAAGCGAUUCCGGCUACGGAUGGUCAUGCGUCGCAUUAGCUAGUUGGCGGGGUAACGGCCCACCAAGGCGACGAUGCGUAGGGGUUCUGAGAGGAAGGUCCCCCACACUGGUACUGAGACACGGACCAGACUCCUACGGAAGGCAGCAG
rnacentral:rRNA from 1 species